rnacentral:rRNA from 1 species
GACGAACGCUGGCGGCGUGCCUAAUACAUGCAAGUCGAGCGCAGCGGGGACGGGUGAGUAACACGUGGAUAACCUCCUAUAAGACUGGGAUAACUUCGGGAAACCGGAGCUAAACCGGAUACUUAUAGUUGGCUCUGCUGUGCAUUAGCUAGUUGGUAAGGUAACGGCUUACCAAGGCAACGAUGCAUAGCCGACCGGAGAGGGUGAUCGGCAACCCGGGAACGGAGACACGGUCCAGACACCUACGGGGGGCAGCAGUGGGGAAUCUUCCGCAAUGGGGGAAAGCCGGACGGAGCAACGCCGCGUGAGGAAGGAAGGUCUUCGGAUCGUAAAACUCUGUUAUUAAGGAAGCGGUACCUAAUCAGAAAGCCACGGCUAACUACGUGCCAGCAGCCGCGGUAAUAC